AAAACGACUCUUGGCAACGGAUAUCUCGGCUCUCGCAUCGAUGAAGAACGUAGCAAAAUGCGACACUUGGUGUGAAUUGCAGAAUCCCGUGAACCAUCGAGUCUUUGAACGCAAGUUGCGCCCCAAGCCUUCUGGCCGAGGGCACGUCUGCCUGGGUGUCACAA
rnacentral:rRNA from 1 species